GAUGAACGCUGGCGGCGUGCUUAACACAUGCAAGUCGAACGGAAAGGCCCAGGCUUGCUUGGGUACUCGAGUGGCGAACGGGUGAGUAACACGUGGGUGAUCUGCCCUUCACUUCGGGAUAAGCCUGGGAAACUGGGGCUAAUACCGGAUAGGACGUUGGGUUGCAUGCCAUUGUAGAAAGAUUUUGCGUUUUGGGAUGAGCUCUCGGCCUAUCAGCUUGUUGGUGGGGUAGUGGCCUACCAAGGCGUCGACGGGUAGCCGGCCUGUGAGAGUGUACGGCCACACUGGGAGUGGAAGACAGGCCAGAGUCCGGCGGGUGGCAGAAGUGGGGAAUAUUGGACAAUGGGAGCAAGCGUGAUGCAUCGAGGCCGCGUGGGGGUUGACGGCCUUUGGGUGGGAAAAACCUAUCUCUAAGGACGUAGCGUUUUUGUGACGGUACCUGGUCAAGAAGCAACGGCUAACUACGUG
rnacentral:rRNA from 1 species